rnacentral:misc_RNA from 1 species
GAUGAAGAACGUAGCGAAAUGCGAUAAGUAAUGUGAAUUGCAGAAUUCAGUGAAUCAUCGAAUCUUUGAACGCACAUUGCGCCCAUCAGUAUUCUGUUGGGCAUGCCUGUCCGAGCGUCAUUUCAACCCUCAGGGCCCGUUCGCGGGAACUGGUGUUGGGGAUCGGCCUCCCCCCGGAGGCCGGCCCCGAAAUGCAGUGGCGGCUCUACCGCGAUCUCCUCUGUGUAGUAGCGAUACCUCGCAGCUGGAUAGUGGUGGUGCCACGCCGUAAAAUCCCAACUUUGCCAAGGUUGACCUCGGAUCAGGUAGGAAUACCCGCUGAACUUAAGCAUAUCAAUAAGCGGAGGA